UGUAAAGUUAAAUAAUAAAGGUAAACACACAAAACGUAUUCCUCUCGGCUCUUGCCCUAAUUCACUUGCAAUAAUAUUUUUUCACUUCACAUCUGCAACGAAAAAGAAAGCGCCCCUUUAUCUGGAUCAGGUUUUAGAGUGGUAUAGUAAAAAUGUCUUCAACUGGGUCAACACGAGAGGAAAAUGUUUACAUGGCCAAAUUGGCUGAGCAAGCUGAACGGUAUGAAGAAAUGGUGGAGUUCAUGGAGAAAGUUGUAAAAGCUGUCAAUGUAGAGGAGCUAACUGUUGAGGAACGAAAUCUUCUCUCCGUGGCUUACAAAAACGUGAUUGGGGCUAGGAGGGCAUCAUGGAGGAUAAUCUCUUCAAUUGAGCAGAAGGAAGAGAGCAAAGGAAAUGGGGAUCAUGUUGCUAUCAUCAAGGAGUAUAGGGGCAAGAUCGAAGCUGAGCUUAGCAAGAUCUGUGAUGGGAUUUUGAGCCUUCUGGAAUCUCAUCUCAUCCCUUCAGCCUCAACAGCUGAGUCCAAGGUGUUUUACCUUAAGAUGAAGGGUGAUUAUCACAGGUAUCUUGCUGAGUUUAAGACUGGCGUCGAGAGGAAGGAAGCAGCUGAAAGCACUUUGUUGGCUUACAAGUCUGCUCAGCUUUCUUAUGAUGGCAGGAUAUUGCUAUUGUUGAACUUGCUCCUACUCACCCAAUUAGACUCGGGCUUGCUCUUAACUUCUCUGUUUUCUACUACGAAAUCCUCAACUCACCUGAUCGUGCCUGCAAUCUUGCAAAACAGGCUUUUGAUGAUGCAAUUUCAGAGUUGGAUACUUUGGGUGAGGAAUCUUACAAGGAUAGUACAUUGAUCAUGCAACUUCUCCGGGACAAUCUGACCCUUUGGACAUCUGACAUCACGGAUGAAGCUGGAGAUGAGAUCAAGGAAGCACCUCUAAAGCCUGAGUCAGGGGAGGGACAGCAGUGACGAGUCAAGCUCAUAGGAUAUGUACUCUGUACUUCAUCUAGUAGUUUCUUAUAGAUGCAAUCUAGGUUGUAGAAGUGUUCCUUUUACUUUUUUUUUCUUCUCUAAUCAGCACUUGGAAUCAAAUGUUCCGAUGGAUUAUACAUGCGCUUUAUUAUUGGACAGGAAUUUGUUUGGUUUU